GGUCAGAUCAGUGCCGUUAAGUUGACUUGGUAUCAAGGAUCGGACCUUCAAUACCGAUAGGACGUAGGCCUGUGGCGCCGACAUGACUGGCUUACGUUAGUCUAUCAGAAAUGCCCAAUCGAGAUACGUUUAUUUUAUUCGAAGUUCGUGGAUUAAACGCAAAACACGGAUCACACAUUGAUUAUGAAUGAGGGAAUAAGUGUGGCCCAUAAAUUCCCG